rnacentral:rRNA from 1 species
AGGGUAUGAUACCGGCUCAGAACGAACGCUGGCGGCGUGGAUAAGACAUGCAAGUCGCACGAGAAACCGGUCUUCGGAUUGGGAGUAAAGUGGCGAAAGGGUCAGUAAUACAUAGAUAACUUGUCAACUGGCUCGGUAUAACUCGGCGAAAGCCGGGCUAAUUCCGGAUGAGAUGCUCUGACGAAUGUUGGGGCAUGAAAGGCGGGGACCCUUCGGGGCCUGUCACCGGUGGAGAGGUCUAUGUCCUAUCAGCUAGUUGGUGAGGUAACGGCUCACCAAGGCUUACGGGUACGGGGCCUGAGAGGGUGUUCCCGGACACUGGGACUGAGACACAGCCCAGACUCCUACGGGAGGCAGCAGUCGAGAAUCAUUCGCAAUGGGCGCAAGCCUGACGAUGCGACGCCGCGUGUGGGAUGGAGGCCUUCGGGUCGUAAACCACUGUCACGGGGGAAGAACCAUACGGAUAACAAAAUGUCUGUGUCUGACGUUACCCCGAGAGGAAGCCACGGCUAACUCCGUGCCAGCAGCCGCGGUAAUACGGAGGUGGCGAGCGUUGUUCGGAUUUACUGGGCGUAAAGGGUGUGUAGGCGGCUGAACGUGUUCGGUGUGAAAUACCCCGGCUUAACUAGGGAACUGCAUCGAAAACUGUUCGGCUUGAGUGCAGGAGAGGAGAAUGGAAUUUCCGGUGUAGCGGUGAAAUGCGUAGAUAUCGGAAGGAACGCCAGUGGCGAAAGCGGUUCUCUGGCCUGCAACUGACGCUGAGGCACGAAAGCCAAGGUAGCAAACGGGAUUAGAUACCCCGGUAGUCUUGGCCGUAAACGAUGGACACUACGUAGUGGGGACUCUGACGUUCUCACUGCCGGAACUAACGCAUUAAGUGUCCCGCCUGGGGACUACGACCGCAAGGUUAAAACUCAAGGUAAUUGACGGGGGCUCACACAAGCGGUGGAGCAUGUUGCGUAAUCAACGCGAAGAACCUUACCUGGGCUUGACAUGCACGGAUUAGGUGUAUGAAAGUACACUGACGCGCUUGCGUGGAACGUGCACAGGUGUUGCAUGGCUGUCGUCAGCUCGUGCCGUGAGGUGUCGGGUUAAGUCCCUCAACGAGCGAAACCCUUAUCUCUAGUUGCCAGCGAGUAAUGUUGGGGACUCUAGAGAGACUGCCAGUGUUAAACUGGAGGAAGGCGGGGAUGACGUCAAGUCAUCAUGGCCCUUAUGCCCAGGGCUGCAAACGUGCUACAAUGGCCGGUACAAAGGGAAGCAAGACCGCGAGGUGGAGCAAAUCCCAAAAAAGCCGUCCUCAGUUCGGAUUGAAGUCUGCAACUCGACUUCAUGAAGCUGGAAUCGCUAGUAAUCACGGAUCAGCAACGCCGUGGUGAAUGUGUUCCUGAGCCUUGUACACACCGCCCGUCAAGUCACCUGAAUGGAUCGAACCCGAAGCCGCGAAGCUCUCGGGCCAGCGUCGAAGGUCCGGUUCGUAAGGGGGACUAAGUCGGAACAAGGUAGCCGUACGGGA